ACAUCGUAGUGGAGAAUAAGAUUAAAAUAUUUUUAAUCUGAAUUAUACAUACAUGAAAAUAUAAAAUCAUAUGGAUCUAUUUCAUAUGCUGAAAUUGAUAUAUACUAAAAUUCAGAUUGUGAUCAAAUUACAUACCUGUUUCGCAAUCCUUUUCUUCGAAUCUGGAUCUGAAAGAGAAGAGAUUCUCUCUUAGCCGUACAAGUAUCCGGCCUCUACAAGUAUCCACUCGAGAUCAGCUUAGAACAGUCAUCUUUAAUCUAAAUUUUGGUUCUCCAAAAUUCAACCUGCUGAAUCUGAAUGAAGCCUAGAUCACAAUCAAUGCUUGAUCUUUUUUCUUGAUCUUCUUCUUCUCCUCUUCUCUAAAGUUUCUCCUUGCUUUGUGCUGCUACAAAACACCAACAACCAGUAAAUUAUAAGAUACCCAACACCUUAGGUGUGAAACUCUUUGGGACUCGUAUCCCAAAAGAUGGGCAUGUAGAAUGCUCAAGAGAAGAGAAAGGG
rnacentral:lncRNA from 1 species